GCAGGGGUAGUCAAGCUUGGCCAACGGCGCAGGACUUAGGAUCCUGUCCCUAGAGGUUCAUGGGUUCAAAUCCCAUCCCCUGCACCA
rnacentral:tRNA from 1 species